AGCAGCCGCGGUAAUUCCAGCUCCAAUAGCGUAUAUUAAAGUUGUUGCAGUUAAAAAGCUCGUAGUUGAAUUUCGGGAUUGACGUGAUGGUCGUGCCUUACGGGGUAUGAACUGUUGCUGUUGAUUUCUCACCUUCUGGAGAAACUUGAUGUCCUUAAUUGGGUGUCUUGCGGAUCCAGGACCUUUACCUUGAAAAAAAUUUAGAGUGUUUAAAGCAGGCAUUUUGCUCGAAUACAUUAGCAUGGAAUAAUAGAAUAGGACGGCAUGGUUCUAUUUUGUUGGUUUCUAGGAUCACCGUAAUGAUUAAUAGGGAUAGUUGGGGGCAUUAGUAUUCAAUUGUCAGAGGUGAAAUUCUUGGAUUUAUUGAAGACUAACUACUGCGAAAGCAUUUGCCAAGGAUGUUUUCAUUAAUCAAGAACGAAAGUUAGGGGAUCGAAGACGAUCAGAUACCGUCGUAGUCUUAACCAUAAACUAUGCCGACUAGGAAUCAGACGAUGUUAAUUUUUUAAUGACUCGUUUG
rnacentral:misc_RNA from 1 species